UAACAUGACAGAUAUAGUGGAGAUGCAUGCUACAAAAAUCUGCUAGUGGAUAUUCAAUGUACAACAAUAGUCUUAGGUAACAAGCAAUACGUGUUAAAUAUGGGCCACAGUCAAUCAUGACAGCCUCUUUAUGAAAGGCCUUUACUUAUGACUUAAACAGAUUCAUUUUCUACCCAUCUUAUUCAUUAAUGCUGUGGGCAUACCCAGGAUUUACAUGCCGGACGGAUUAUCUACCCAUGGAGGGAAAACUUACGGAGCUUUGAUGGAGUGUGCAAGCGUCUUAGCGAUCGUGAAUUGGAAACGGAGAAUGGUCAGGGCUAACCAGGACCUAUAUCUGUAAGAAAGGCAUAGUAAAAGACAUUAAUUAUGAACGGUUAUAAACUGUAUGUACUUGAUUUUUUUUUAAAUUAAAUAAAGAUGUUUUUAAAAGCAGUAUCUCACCACGUCAUGAACUCUCUCGUUUUUCACCCUUAACACAGUCUGUCCCGGAGAAAAAGAAUUGCGGAAAAAGCCAUGUGCGCGCGUGUGUGUGCGUGCGUGUGCUGUAGUGUAUGUGUGUGUGUUUCAAAACAAAGAAAAAGGGGCUGGGUGUGUGUUCAAAAAUGCCCAUGCGUCUGCGCUCAAGGCUCUCUCUCUUUACAAUAUCCUGCAAAACAGAUGCCUACCCCCAAACAAAAAGUGUGUCGGUGUCUUACGGACACUUACGUAUCAUUAACCCAUAGGCCUUUCAAAACCUAAUUUAGCUCACCCCCCAGAGGAUGGGGGGUCUAAAAAGUCAAACGGCCCAGAAAUAAUAGCGAUGUCUAGACCGACCCCCAGGGGUUGAAACGGACAUCGGACACAGCAUCGAGGUGCUAUAUCCCGGAGGUUGUAGAAUAUCAAAAGGGUAAUACUGUCUCGACACCCCAAUCCUGUUGUUUGAACCCAAUACCUUAGUAAUCAAAUAUACAGGAUAUAGCCCGAAAAAACGUCACCAUAAUGCCCCGUAAACUAAUUCCGUACUUUCUCUAGUUAGGGACACGAACGCGGAGCGAGUCUAGUGAAACAUACACUUUCCCACUAUGUUAGCACCGCUUUAGCUCAGCUGCAAACCUACAGGACAGCAGCCCCGAAUAGUUAACGGACAAGAUCGUCUGUAAAUCCUUCCGCUUUCUGAAGGAUAUGCAACAUUAAGCCAACUGCAUCCCGGGGAUAAAUGAUAUGGAACCACCUUCAUUAGAAUGGAAUUCCGAAGAGCAACGGAUGGACACAGAAUUUUACGAGAUAUCUAUAUGUCAACUGUAUGUAUUUUUUAUGAUAAAAUGUACACCAGACAUCGAAAAUCAUACAACCCUGGAGGACAUGAUCGAAACGGAAGGGGUACCCCCGGAACAUGAACAGUAAAACAUUGAAUUCGGACAAUUUCCCCGCUUCAAAUGACAUUUCGGAGGUCUCUGAUUUGCGGUUGUUUGUGAUGGGCAGAAAACAUGUUAAGGA